rnacentral:rRNA from 1 species
UACGAAGGGUGCAAGCGUUAAUCGGAAUUACUGGGCGUAAAGCGCGCGUAGGUGGUUCAGUAAGUUGGAAGUGAAAUCCCCGGGCUCAACCUGGGAACUGCUUUCAAAACUGCUGAGCUAGAGUACGGUAGAGGGUGGUGGAAUUUCCUGUGUAGCGGUGAAAUGCGUAGAUAUAGGAAGGAACACCAGUGGCGAAGGCGACAACCUGGACUGAUACUGACACUGAGGUGCGAAAGCGUGGGGAGCAAACAGG